UCAAUGAUUAAAUAUUUUAAAGGUUAUAUGGCUAUAAAGGAUUUCGGUCAAGUAUGAGAUGAAAUUUAAUAUUUACUUAGACAUAUUAAAUACUCAUUUUCAAAUAUAGUACACAAACAGAGGCCGCCCGUCCCACCGAUUCUGUCACUCGCUGCAGUUAAUUGAUUCUCAUGCAAUUUCCUGAAUAAUCUUACUACUUGUGAGUUGUGUGUCAACGCGUAUUUGACUUGUUAUACUGUACUGUAAAUAUAAUUUAGACAUAGUUAGAAAAUUGCCUAAUUAGUAAAUUGGGGCUUUCUCGAGGUAUGAACAACUGAAUUGUAGUACUGGUUAAUACUUUCAAUGUACCCAUGAUUUCAUUUGUUCAUACUCCUAUAGGAAGUACUGAAUAUAGUCAUGUUUAAUGUUAUUGUUGUUGUGUAUAUAGAGUUUAGGAGGACCAGAUUGGAAAAAAGUUUUAACUUUAUCUGUUUAUCCUCAAUAAAUAAAGUGUUAUUAUUAUUAUUAUUAUUAUUACUACAGUGAGUUUCUUCUUGUAUCGGAGAUCCCAUUUCUCUAAGUGAAAUUCUGUCGUUCUUUUGUACAAACUGUGGCUUUGCUGGUUGUUUGCAAUAUCGAGCCAUCUUUAUUACACCAAAUACCAGCAAGAGAACGCAAACUGUAAGAAAAAACAAUAUAAAUAGCUUGUCCAGUCGUGAACUUUAGCGUGAGCUGAAUCAUAUCUCUUGUUGUAGAAAUUUCCUUUGAUGUAGUAGAAACU